GGAUGUGAGGGCGAUCUGGCUGCGACAUCUGUCACCCCAUUGAUCGCCAGGGUUGAUUCGGCUGAUCUGGCUGGCUAAGCGGGUGUCCCCCUCCUCCCUCACUGAUCCAUGUGUGUCCCUCCCGAAGCUGCGCGCUCGGUUGAAGAGGACGACCUCCCCCCCCCCCCCAGGAGAGGACCGGUCUUCGGUCAAGGGUAUACGAGUAGCUGCGCUCCCCUGCUAGAACCUCCAAACAAGCUCUCAAAAAUACAACUAAAAGACAAAACAGACAUCAUCCAGAACCACAGUAAAGCUGGUUGAGUGAAAAUUCUAC
ensembl:misc_RNA 7SK 7SK RNA